rnacentral:lncRNA from 1 species
CUCCUCCAGACCCUGUGUCUGCAGUUAGCCAACAUCUAUAGCCUCAAAACAGAGAUAUCUGAGUCACUGUCAGAGUUAUCCAGUGAGCUGUGCUCAUUGUUGGGCCUGGUGACAGAAAACUGGCCCUUGACCCUGGUGCUGGAUGGUCUGGAUAAUCUGAUCCCAAGUUAAGGUCAGUGUCCUGUCCCUACCCGCCCUUAACCAUGAGGACAUUACAUCAGGACUGGUGUCAAGACUAGCAUCAGAUUUUUGCCAACUGACUGAAAACCAGUGGAGCCUGUUAUUCCAGUCCUGUCUAUCCUGUCCAUCCCC